GCCUAUGACCAAAUCAUCCGGAAUGUGCCCGAUGCCAUCAGAUCACGGAAGCUACGCAGGGACCGAACCUCGAUAGCACUUGGACAGGCGACCACCGUAGAAACAAAUUGAUGAAUUUUGGGCC
rnacentral:rRNA from 1 species